rnacentral:SRP_RNA from 1 species
CCGUGCUAGGCGGGGUGCUAGCGGUGCCCUGUACCCGCAAUCCGCUCUAGCGGGGCUGAAUCCCCUCCCGAGGGGCUCCAGGCCCCGGGGUCAGCGCCUCGUUUGCGGUGUUGAUGGUUCGGUCCCGUAGCGAUGAAGGCCCGUGAACCAGGUCAGGUCCGGAAGGAAGCAGCCUUAAGCGGUCUCCUUCAGGCGCCGCGGGAGCGCCGAGCCGGAGCCGUCAAAGGGGGCCGCGCCUCGGGUACCGGCUUCGACGGAGGGUGCACGG